rnacentral:rRNA from 1 species
AAAUUGAAGAGUUUGAUCAUGGCUCAGAUUGAACGCUGGCGGCAGGCCUAACACAUGCAAGUCGAGCGGUAGCACAGAAGAGCUUGCUCUUCGGGUGACGAGCGGCGGACGGGUGAGUAAUGUCUGGGAAACUGCCUGAUGGAGGGGGAUAACUACUGGAAACGGUAGCUAAUACCGCAUAACGUCUUCGGACCAAAGAGGGGGACCUUCGGGCCUCUUGCCAUCGGAUGUGCCCAGAUGGGAUUAGCUAGUAGGUGAGGUAAUGGCUCACCUAGGCGACGAUCCCUAGCUGGUCUGAGAGGAUGACCAGCCACACUGGAACUGAGACACGGUCCAGACUCCUACGGGAGGCAGCAGUGGGGAAUAUUGCACAAUGGGCGCAAGCCUGAUGCAGCCAUGCCGCGUGUGUGAAGAAGGCCUUCGGGUUGUAAAGCACUUUCAGCGGGGAGGAAGGCGAUAAGGUUAAUAACCUUGUCGAUUGACGUUACCCGCAGAAGAAGCACCGGCUAACUCCGUGCCAGCAGCCGCGGUAAUACGGAGGGUGCAAGCGUUAAUCGGAAUGACUGGGCGUAAAGCGCACGCAGGCGGUCUGUUAAGUUGGAUGUGAAAUCCCCGGGCUUAACCUGGGAACUGCAUUCAAAACUGACAGGCUAGAGUCUUGUAGAGGGGGGUAGAAUUCCAGGUGUAGCGGUGAAAUGCGUAGAGAUCUGGAGGAAUACCGGUGGCGAAGGCGGCCCCCUGGACAAAGACUGACGCUCAGGUGCGAAAGCGUGGGGAGCAAACAGGAUUAGAUACCCUGGUAGUCCACGCUGUAAACGAUGUCGACUUGGAGGUUGUGCCCUUGAGGCGUGGCUUCCGGAGCUAACGCGUUAAGUCGACCGCCUGGGGAGUACGGCCGCAAGGUUAAAACUCAAAUGAAUUGACGGGGGCCCGCACAAGCGGUGGAGCAUGUGGUUUAAUUCGAUGCAACGCGAAGAACCUUACCUACUCUUGACAUCCAGAGAAUUCGGUAGAGAUACCUUAGUGCCUUCGGGAACUCUGAGACAGGUGCUGCAUGGCUGUCGUCAGCUCGUGUUGUGAAAUGUUGGGUUAAGUCCCGCAACGAGCGCAACCCUUAUCCUUUGUUGCCAGCGAGUAAUGUCGGGAACUCAAAGGAGACUGCCGGUGAUAAACCGGAGGAAGGUGGGGAUGACGUCAAGUCAUCAUGGCCCUUACGAGUAGGGCUACACACGUGCUACAAUGGCGUAUACAAAGAGAAGCGACCUCGCGAGAGCAAGCGGACCUCACAAAGUACGUCGUAGUCCGGAUUGGAGUCUGCAACUCGACUCCAUGAAGUCGGAAUCGCUAGUAAUCGUAGAUCAGAAUGCUACGGUGAAUACGUUCCCGGGCCUUGUACACACCGCCCGUCACACCAUGGGAGUGGGUUGCAAAAGAAGUAGGUAGCUUAACCUUCGGGAGGGCGCUUACCACUUUGUGAUUCAUGACUGGGGUGAAGUCGUAACAAGGUAACCGUAGGGGAACCUGCGGUUGGAUCACCUCCUUACCAAAAAGA